rnacentral:lncRNA from 10 species
ACCCACGCGGCGCAGCUCCCAAAGUUGCAGACAGCCCGGCGAACCGCGCAAUGCGCUUCUUCUGCCUGCAGCAGAGAAAAGGAAAGAAAACUCCGCAGGGGCUCCGUUGGCUUCUCCACGAGUGACAACCAUGUUUUCCCAGAUAGAAGACCGGAGCCCUGCUCCUUUGCGAUCCGCCGAGGGCUGCAGAGAGCAUCCUCAUCCAUUUGGGCACCCCUGCCCAGGAAGAGCCCGGCCAUCCCUUUCCGGACUGGAUCCUUAAGAGGUGAAUUUUCUUCCGUGGAUUCCGAUUUGCUCCGUCUGACCAGCCUAGGCAAUCCAGCAUCGCGUGGUACCAGUGCCGCUGGGCACACUGGCUUCACGCCGGCUCCGCCUCACCAGCAAGCGCAUUCCCAGGUGGUCAGGCUCAGGAUGGACCAUGAGCUUUCAAAAAGGAAAAAGGUGGAAAUCCUCAACUAUGCUGCCAUCUGAAUAAGUGUUUCUUUGUAGAUGCACAGAGUCAAGGAAAAUUACAUCCCUGCAUUAUGUAAUGUACCAACAACGCACUUACCCACUGUUUUAAUCUAGGUUAUUCUUGAAAGCAGAGCCUGAGACAAAGGUAGACACAUUCUAUUUAUGAGUCUAACACCCAGGAGCAGGAAUGAGAGAUAGGGGAGUGAACUGGGGAAAAGGGAAACUAAGUCCGAGCAAAACCAGAUACUGCUCUUAUCAAGUGGUCCACCCCUAUUAAUGGCUACAUAAUGCAGAACUUUCUCAGGAUUCUUCUUAAACUUUAUCUCAGAACUGUCUGCCUCAGGGAGAAAGGAGAAGUAUUUCUCCAUCAGCAGCCACCUCCUGUGUGUUGAGGGCUGCUCCUUUGGGGCAUUAACCCACUGCCUCCACCACCCCAACCCUCUGGGCUGCAAAGAGCUAGCUGACAGUCCAGCUGGUACCUUAGCAUCACACAUUGCUGCAUCAGAGAGGUCUUAAGACAGGAAGCUAGAGUCUUGGUGCAUGCUCGAAGUGAGACGGUGUCAGCACAGAGCAGGGUAAAAUCUUCCCGUUAACUCUUCACCAGAGCUAUGACUGGAAUCAGAGGUUGAAAAGAUGUGAGACUGUACCCAAGAAGCAUCUUAUAAGCCUACGUAAUAUACUGUUAGACUCAUCGAAAUCUAUUUCCUCCCUUCUUUAUAAUCAAAACUUCAGUGUCCAGAAUAAAGUUGGCAGAAGGGUUAAAUUGGAAAGUUAAAUGUACUAGAAGGUGUACAUUUAUAAGUUUUGACCUUGAGUCGUGUUCAAGGAGAAAGUGACAUUGGAACUUGGAAAAUUUAAAAAUGAUUCUACUUGAAAAAUUUGACCAUUGCAUAGAAAUAUUAGCUAUCGUCUAAUCUUUUGUAAUCUUAGAAACAAUCGUGAAUUGUUUGGUGAAAAAUGAAAAAAUAACCAUUUCUUAUGUCUCCGUGACCUUUAUAGACCAAUGUCACCAACUUUUCCUAAGGUAAUUGUUUCCUACUGUCAAAUAGCUCUAGUGAUAUAAAUCUUAACAAUCAAUGAAGGGAAAACUGGUGGAAACAUAGGAGGAAAAAUACUGGGAUAAUUUUCAUCACAAAGUAUUGGCAUUAACAUUGGUUAGAAUAGGGGAGAAACUGCAUGACUUGACAACUGGACAUUCCUGUAUGUUGUAUGAGGCCCUGUCUUAACAGAAAUAGUGAUGUCAUCAUCAUCCUCUCUUAUUUGGUCUUGAAUUGCCACCAAUCGGAUAAAACCUUUGAAUUAUUUAACUCAAUAUAUGUUAAGUUUCUACUAUGUGCUGUGUAUUGGUACUAUAAAUAUGAAUAAGACAUAAGAUAUUACAUUCAAAAACAUCAGAAUACAUGUUCUUUUAAAGUAUACCCCAAAACAUUUACCAUGUGUUCUGGGGCGCAUGUUAGGCUGGAUCACAAAUCAAGUCUCAAGAAUUUCAAAAGAUUGAAAUCAUAUAGAGUAUGAAUUAAACCAGAAAUCAAGUACAUAAAGGUAACAAAAAAUUUCCAAAAUGCAUUAAUUUAAGGAACAUACACCUCAUGACCCAUGAGCCAAAAAAUAAAUCACGGCAAAAUUGCAAAAAUAUUUUGAAAUGAAUUUUAAAGAAAAUACUUAGCAUAUUAAAUACUUAGCAUAUUAAAGCUCUAAGUACAUAUGUUAGAAAUUUUACCGAAAGGUUGGCUAUCAGUGUUUCCAGAAGCCAGGGAAAAAGUUUAUACAAUUUGAUCGCUGAGGCAGGGAAACAAAGUGAGACCUCCGAUCGCCCUGCCUUUCUGAGGUGAGCACUCUGGAUCCCAUCGCAGGAGAUCAGAGUCUUGCUGAGUUGAGGAGAGGAAGAUUGGAGUUGAUACUGAGAUAGCUUGAAUUUUCAGGACAAAGUAUCAACAAGGAGGAAGGUAGACAAAAAAAUCCAGAAAUCUAUGUAGAGACCCCAUUGUGUACAUUGCGGAACACUAAGCCUAACAAUUCUCAAAAUUAGCGUGAGAUUGGGAAAUAUCUAAUUUCCAUCCAGCCACAGUGGAGAGUCCUGACUGAAAACCAGGCAUUCGCUAAAGAUCCCAGAAAGGUUGUGUGUUACAUACGUAGGGCUAAACUAUCCUGACUAAAAACUACACUACACUUGCUCCUCACCCCCACAAAAAGCUUAAAAACAAGCCUCAAUAGUAUAAAGCUGAUCUGUAAGUAACUAAACUACCUGCAGAACAAAGUCCAAAUUUAUUAGUUCCAGUACUCCAAAAAAAACACAUGUAAAAAAAAAAUAGAUUUACAAGACAUUUAUUUGGGGAAAAAAAGAAUGCCUGAGGGUUGAAAUGGAGAGGAAGCCAGAGAGACAGAGUCCUCAGAAUACAUAAAAUUUCUGGCCUCCAUGGAGGUGUGAUGGUUAAUUUUAUGCAUGUCAACUUCGCUGGGCCACAGGAUGCCCCAUAUAUGAUCGAACAUUAUUUCUGGUUGUGUUCAUGAAGCUUUUUCUGGAGGAAAUUCGCAUUUGAAUUGAUGGACUGAAUAAAGCAGAUUGCAGUCCCCAGUGUGGAUGGGCUUGAUCCAGUCUUCUAAGGACCCAAAUAAAAUAGGUGGAGGAAGCUUGAAUUUUCUGCCUGACUGUGGCGCUGGGACACCCAUCUUCUCCUGCCCUUGAACUGGGACUGACACCAUCAGUGCUCCUGGUUCUCAGACCUUCGGACAGCAGACUUGGGGCCUUCUCGGCCUCCAUUAUUGUGUAAGCCAAUUCCUUAUAAUAAAUAAGGGUUUAUUUAUUGA